UACGGAGGAUGCAAGCGUUAUCCGGAAUGAUUGGGCGUAAAGCGUCCGCAGGUGGCAAUGUAAGUCUGCUGUCAAAGCGUCUGGCUCAACCAGAUAAAGGCAGUGGAAACUACAUAGCUAGAGUAAGGUAGGGGUAGAGGGAAUUCCUGGUGUAGAGGUGAAAUGCGUAGAGAUCAGGAAGAACACCGGUGGCGAAAGCGCUCUGCUGGACCUUAACUGACACUGAGGGACGAAAGCUAGGGGAGCGAAUGGG
rnacentral:rRNA from 1 species